UACGCACUCGUCGUUACUUUAGACUUUAGAAGCUUGAGAAGGUGGAAGUGAAGGAAGAAAACAUACAUAAAUGUGAUUUUGUUGGUGGCCGUUGUCAACGUCUCGUCUCAUGGAACUCUUUUUAUUCUCUGUUCUUGAUUUUUCUGCUUGGGCCCUUUGCUAAUCUCCACACUGUUUCUUCCUUUCUCUCUCUUUCUCUCUCACGCACACUCUAUUCUUCCGAGAAGACACACACCUCGAUCGUCUCUGAGUUGUCUGGAUUUAUAGUAUAAGAUCCGUUUGUUUUUUUCUUGUUGUCGGGAAAUCAAAACGAAAUGUCGGGUUUCUGAUCAUGGUUUUGGGCGCCGUCUUCCUACGAGCGGUGGUGUUUUGUCGAUUUCUGAACCUCGAAAGAGCCUUUCCGGUGCACCGCCGAAUCAUGCAAGGUGGGAUCGUCGAUUUUCCCGUCGAGAGUGCUUACAAUCCUUACACMGUCGGAUUGCUUUGAAUUACUUUGAUGCUGCCACCUCAUCCAGAUGAAAUAUGUAAUUUGGCGGUUCAAACUUUAGAUGGUGGCUGCACUGCUCAGAAUUCCCAGUGUGGUUACUCCUUUUAGUAUGGUGAUGGAAAUGGGACAUCGGGUUAUUAUUGUACAUGAUAUGUUAUUCUUUGACACAGUUCCCAGGAGAUGUAGCAACUAUCAGUCCGGAGACUUGACCAAGCCAGACAGAGCUGAUGAUGGGAUUUUUGGGUUUGGGCAGCACGGACUGUCCGUCGUUUCACAACUGCCACCAAAAAGUUUCAAUUCAAAUUUUUGACAUUUCUCCCAGGAUGGGGCAAGAAUUUUGGUGCAUUGGCUUCCAUGGAGUUCAGGACGAAGGGAUGACCAUUUUAUGGGGUUUGAAUCCUAACUUGAAUGUUUCUCCAUUGUAUGCUCUAGUCCAUAAUGUAGAGAAUGAGUACUGGUUAUAUGCUAACCUUUGCAUUUAUGUCAUGUGUGCRUAUCCUUGUGGCUUCUAACAUACACUAUAAACAUAUGUUUUUAUUUAGAUAUGUAAAUAUAUUCUGUAUAUAUUUGUAUACAUGCCUAGAUAUGUAUGUAUCUAUAUCUUUGUCAUGAAGUUCAUUCUAAAAAGGUUUUACUAUUGAUAAUWAUGAUGUAUACAUGAAAGCAUUAUUUUGCUUAAAUUAAUCGCCUAUUAAACUGUUAUUCUUGAUGACAUGUAAAACUAAGAAAUUAAAUAUAWUUAACAAAAUGAGGAAGUUCUUAUAUAGGUUAACAAAGGAUGACAAUGGGUCGAGUUAAAUGGUAAACCCGACGUGACCCGACCCUAUAGGGUUGGGUUAGGUCAGGUGUAUUCGGCUUUUGGGCCGGGUUAGGGUUUUGAUUCUUUGACCCGAGUUGGGUUUGGGUUCGGGUUUUGACUAGCCCACUCCGUUGGGUCAUGAUACCUACAUAUAUGCCAAGUAUUCUUGCAGUUUUUUGACUUCUAACUAUAUAGACUUAGUGUUUAUAUUUUAUUUACAUGUUGAUUUUGAUUUUCUUCUUUUUUAAAAUGGAAAAARUAACACCUUAGAAUGUAUAAAACAACUUCCUAACUUAAAUUAAUGUUUUUUAUGUCUCCAAAACAUGUUAAAAAAUACAUUUGAAAUGCUACAGGUCGA